GUACCCCACGCGGGCCAGACGCCCGCGUCCGGCGCGGAAGGCCUCCCUGGACUCUUUGAACCCCCUGGCGGCGCGGCUUCUGAAAACCUUGAAGCGUCCGCCGCGGGAGGCCGGCCUCUUGAGGUCCCGAAGGUCCGUGAACUUGAGGAAGUGCACGGCUCCGGACUCGUCAUGGGGCUGCUGCGCGACAUUCUCCAGGGUCAGCUUCCCAUCCGGCACGACGCAGACGGCUUCCUCGUCGGGCCGCUGGACCCACAGGCUGCAAGCCCUGACGUAAGGCUCGACGUCCAUCGGGUAGAAUCGGUUCCC
rnacentral:misc_RNA from 1 species